AUUGAACGCUGGCGGCAGGCCUAACACAUGCAAGUCGAGCGAGCGGCGGACGGGUGAGUAAUGUGUGGGGAUCUGUACGUUAGAGGGGGAUAACUACUGGAAACGGUGGCUAAUACCGCAUACUCUCGGAUGAACCCCUAUGGGAUUAGCUAGUAGGGGGGGUAAAGGCUCACCUAGGCGACGAUCUCUAGCUGGUCUGAGAGGAUGAUCAGCCACACUGGGACUGAGACACGGCCCAGACUCCUACGGGAGGCAGCAGUGGGGAAUAUUGCACAAUGGGCGCAAUCCUGAUGCAGCCAUGCCGCGUGUGUGACGAAGGCCUUAGGGUUGUAAAGUACUUUCAGCGGGGAGGCGUUACCCGCAGAAGAAGCACCGGCUAACUCCGUGCCAGCAGCCGCGGUAAUAC
rnacentral:rRNA from 1 species